UGAUUUUGACCUACACCCAGUGUUGAUGCUACCAGGAGAUAAAAAUUCACUGCAAAGACGUUUCACCUUUUACCAAGUGUCCAGUGUUCCAGAUCACCUUUGAUGAGCAGAGAUUAAAGGUUAUCCCUAAACUGGCUUUGCAGGAUGCCGGGAGGAACUCAUCCUCUGACCACUACCCUUCCGGGAACUUCCCAGCACAGGCACCUUUUUCUCUACGCCUAUGUGUAAAAGGUGGUAGCAGCAGAGUCCCUCUGCCAUGAAGACGUCCCAGUACAGGAACUGUGUCCUGCCCACCACUCCACUCCCAACUGAAGGAUGGCAAGUGUCUGGCAUCUUGUAAGGACUCAAUAAAAGUUUGUUGAAUCAAUGAAUGAAUUGUACCUUGUACCCUCUGUGCCCAAAUAUGCGCUCCCAUUACUUCAUGGAAGAAAAGCUUAUAAGGCCUUCUUUAGAAAGAAUCAGAAAUCUGAUUUCCCCUUUAAGUAGGGAAGACAAAUUCUUAUCAGUAAAGUUCUUACUAUUUAGGUUUCAAAGCCUAAGGAAAAGUCUGAGAAGACUGGUAUUUCUGCUUUGAGUCCCCAUAUUGUUGUUCUCUGGUUUCUGACAUCCAAGAAAAAAAGAAUUCUCCUACCUCUGAAAACCCAUUUAUUACCUUUCAGUUAUACACAUGCAGAAUUUUUAUAGGAUUUAGUUGUUUUUGAGUACUUGUGACACAUUGUUUGUAUAAAUUAUGAGUAAUUCUGUCAAAUGGUUAUUGUGAAAAUUAAUGAUGAUUCAAAAACAUCAGUUGAUAUAAUGAUUCAACAAUGAGCUUAUUAAGCUUUUAACUUAUUCAAAUCUCACAAAAAAAUCCUCAAUUUGCAACUCUUAUGUUAAGAGAAGUAUCUCAAUCUUUAUAUAGCAGUAAAAAUAUUUAAAAUAAAGUGACUCCUGGGCUCUCUAUUCUGUUCCAUUGAUCUACAUGUCUGUUUUUGUGCCAGUACCAUACUGUUUUUUUUGUUUGUUUGUUUUGUUUUGUUUUUUUGUUAUAUGCGGGCCUCUCACUGUUGUGGCCUCUCCCAUUGCGGAG